GAUGAACGCUGGCGGCGUGCCUAACACAUGCAAGUCGAACGAAGCAUUUAAGUGAAUCUCUUCGGAGUGAAGCUUUUAUGACUUAGUGGCGGACGGGUGAGUAACGCGUGAGCAAUCUGCCUUUCAGAGGGGGAUAACAGUUGGAAACGACUGCUAAUACCGCAUAACGUAUUGAGACCGCAUGAUCUUGAUACCAAAGCUGAGGCGCUGAAAGAUGGGCUCGCGUCCGAUUAGAUAGUUGGUGGGGUAACGGCCUACCAAGUCGACGAUCGGUAGCCGGACUGAGAGGUUGAUCGGCCACAUUGGGACUGAGACACGGCCCAG
rnacentral:rRNA from 1 species